GAUCCUGGCUCAGGAUGAACGCUGGCGGCGUGCUUAACACAUGCAAGUCGAGCGAAGCACUUAAGUUUGAUUCUUCGGAUGAAGACUUUUGUGACUGAGCGGCGGACGGGUGAAGGUAACGCGUGGGUAACCUGCCUCAUACAGGGGGAUAACAGUUAGAAAUGGCUGCUAAUACCGCAUAAGACCACAGUACUGCAUGGUACAGUGGUAAAAACUCCGGUGGUAUGAGAUGGACCCGCG
rnacentral:rRNA from 1 species